rnacentral:rRNA from 1 species
GGUCCUCGGGCGUCUGACCCUUCCACAGAGAUACGCUUGCUGAAACCUCAGUGGCCCCGCCUACCAGGCUGGCGAUCUGCGACUCAAAAUAAAUGAUCUUGAACUGCUGGUCUGCGGUCAUGCAGACGACAUCACUCUAUUGCGGGAACGUUCACGGCUCUAGCGGCGUGACUUACCUGCAGCCACCGCGAACCUGCGCUGGUUCACAGACUAAGUAGUGAUGGGCGCGGACACCCGAGGGUUCUGCGUUUCAGAUAUAGCCGAGUUCCAGGAUAACUCCAGGAUGGGUAGUCGGUGUCGCCCCCGGACGUCGAUUUACCGAGGGGAAGAUAUGCACGGAGAGCUCCACCGAAGAUGCAGUUGGUGGUAAGGUGCUUUCUCCCUGGGAACCGUUCCGUAGGUGAACCUGCGGAAGGAUCAUUA